UCAUUUUCAAAGACAUCGGCGAGAGGAGUGAUGCUAUUCUAGGCCACACAGCUGAAUGACAAUUAAUGUUACGUCAACAAAAUGGUUUUGUAAUUUUAAUUUCAAUCUAAUGGUUUGGGCCCCUGACCGUGAUGUGACUAUUUCGAGAAAUUAUCACUUCGACUUUUACGACCGUUAUGUAAAAAGUAUUCGGAAAAAUACGUGUAACAUGUGUUAAAGAGUUCAAUUAUAUUUAUGUCGGUUAUUAAAUUUCUUGAUGAGCGAAAUGACGAAAUAAACGUACCAAUGAAUGACUUGCUGAUGUGGAUUGUGAAAUUGUUAUGAAAAUCAAACUUAAUUGCUAUACGCUGACCUUCGAGUAAAUAACGGCAUGUGAGGGGAAAAUACGUCUAAAUCAUUAGCAAACGAGCAUUAAUUCUGUGCCCGGUCAAUGCUUAUAGUUCAAGGAGGUCGUCGCCAUUGUUGAAGUCACUUGUACGAAAAGCAAGUUCAGAUAUCCAGUGACUUUUGAGUAGCUUUUAUACAAAGAGAAGUAGAAACAAACAGAUAAGUUAAGACGCACGUGAGGGUUUUAGGGAUGCCUACUUUGUUCAGAGAAUGUAGCUUAUAAGAAAACUUGAACAUCUCACAAAACACUAAUUGAGUAUACUUCCCGCUUAAAACUUUUCUCAUCAGUCGGAUGUGCUUAAAAUCAACAAGCUGAAGUCGGAACUUAAAGCGAGACUGGUAAGCGUCUAGCAAAUUCCUCUGGGCGUGCGCGGUCAAACAGAGCUUGGUAUUUACUUUAAAAUUCUCUCGAGUUUUCUUCCUCGAUAACUUUUAAAAUAUUAGCACUAUUCCUAAAUGAAUAUGGAACAAGGACGUAGGAGUUAGUACUGAGAAGUCCAUAAAAAUUUUGCGAAGGUUUUCUAACACUAGCGUUGUAAGUGUUCAUAGAUAAUAUAUGUUUUUAUGAAUAAGUAUCAAAUUUAUUUAUUUUAUCGCUAAAAUCCUUAGAAUUUAUGAAUGCUUCAAAAACAUUUAAAUAAAAAUUAAAUUAUUUUUA